UAAGAGUUGUAACCCUAGAAGCGUCCUCCGCGUUCCCUCGUCUACACGUCUCCUGGAAGGGAGCGUCAUAGAGGGUGAGACCCCCGUCUCCGACACGGACUCCCACUGCUAUGUGACGCGCUCUGGACGAGUGGAGUUGUUUGGGACCGCAGCUCAAAACGGGUGGUAAAUUCCAUCUAAAGCUAAAUACAGGCGAGAGACCGAUAGCGAACAAGUACCGUGAGGGAAAGAUGAAAAGAACUUUGGAAAGAGAGUUAAACAGUGCGUGAAAUUGCUGAAAGGGAAACGCUUGAUGUCAGUCACGUCUGCCAGGGAUCAACCUUGCUUGAUCGCUCGGUGUAUUUCCUGGUCGGACGGGUCAGCAUCAGUUUCGAUCGCUGUACAAGGACAAAGGGAACGUGGCACUCUUCAGAGUGUGUUAUAGCCUUUUCAUCGGAUGCAGUGGUCAGGACUGAGGAACUCGGUACUAUC
rnacentral:rRNA from 1 species